CUAAAUCCCACGGUGCCUUCUCCUUGGGAAAAACAGAGAAGGCACUGUGGGAUUUAGAA
rnacentral:pre_miRNA from 1 species